rnacentral:lncRNA from 1 species
UCUGCAUGCUUAUAUCUGUGCUGUUAACAUAUAUUUGUUUGUUCUUUCGCUUGAUUCUUCCAUUAAUAUCAUGUGAUAGAAUCUGCCCCUUUUUUUUUUUCGACAUAUAAGAUUGUAGUAGAAAAGAUCAGAAAUGAAAUUUAUCUUUAAAUUACUCUGAAACAACUAAGUAUUUUCUUUCCUCUUGGAAGUUGAAAACCCCUAGA